CUAAAUAUUUAAUAUUACUGUAACAUCCUUUCCCACAGGGCCCUCACACUUUUCUCAUUCUCUGGAGAAUUUCUUCGCAUUUCAUCCAUUUCUAAGGUCAGCUCAAUACUCUUCUGUUAGCUUACUCCCCCCUGACCACAAGAGACAGAGAUCUGAAAAGGAUCUUAGAGAUGAUCUGAUCCAAAACUUUGAUUCUGCAGAAAUGGAAACUGCGCCUCACAGAGGCAAAAUGUCAGUCGAUCAACAGAAUGAGCUACUCUUCUGUCAUCUUCUCCAACAAUCUCAGAAAUGUAAACCUAACUCUACUCCUUGGCUCUUUACAUGAAGGUCUCCAUUAUGGUGAAGAAGAGAUGAUGUCACCACAAGGAGGUAGGUUGGGCAGAAGAGGGGCACGCAAAAAAAAAAUUGUUUGCCUUUCUAUAAUCUCCCACCUUCCAUAGAGUGUGGAGGAGCCAAAUUUCAUCAAGUUUGGCACAGUUGUAGGAAUUAACAUGACUGAAAUAUAUGCCAGAUUUCAAAACAAUUUCUAACAGUUUCUGUGAGACUGUGUAAGCAACUGAAAAUUGACAUGUUGUGUUGUGCCCGAGUCAGCCAACUGCUGUCACUGCAUAAUUAGAUUUUCCUGCAUGAGAGGAAAGACUUUUCUUUUUAAAAUUAUGAAAUAAUGCAGAAGCUAACAUAAAGCUUAAAUGGGGAGAAAACUAUCGGUGAUAGAUAGAUAGAUAGAUAGAUAGAUAGAUAGAUAGAUAGAUAGAUAGAUAGAUGAUAGAUAGAUAAUCUUAACUUAGGACACACCAAUAUCUACCCAAUGAAGUAAUGAGAACAGUCUACAGAUCUGGUUUUGUACUCCUCACAUGUAUGGUGAAAGCAUGGGAGCUCUUUAUCCCAAUCCAGUUGGUGCUGGACUGUUAGGUUACAGGUUGAAAAAAAGAAAAAGAGAUGAAGGACCAAGUGCGUAUCUAAAACUAAUUAAUGAGCUAUUUCUUUCUUUUGUCAUAGAAUUAUAGAAUCACAAAUGGACAUAGAUCUGGAAAGAUUGCCUGGCUUCUCUCCCUGUAGGUAAGUGUCUGUCCAUCUAUCUAGGAAAGAGGACUAUCUCUUUUCUUUCUCAAACUACGCAGGUAUGAACUUGACAACACGUAUGCAGAGUUAAUCUUGAUUUCCUCUCCCCUGAUUUAGCCAUCUAUAGAAUAUUAUAUUCAGCUCAAUACUCCACAUUUUAAGAUAUAAUGACAAUUGAGAGCAUCUGAAGAGAAGGGCAAUUAGGAUAGUUAGGAGACUUAAAACCAUUUUAUUUAGGACCACAUGGAGAAACUGGACAUCUU
ensembl:lncRNA